CAAAUGUUUUCUCCCCUUCUGUGGGUUGCCUUUUCAUUCUUGUUCCCUUUGAUUCCCAGUUUUAAUUUUGAUGUAAUGCAGUUUUAUCUACUUUUACUUUUGUUGACUGCUUUUGGUGUCAUAGCCAAGAGAUAAUUGCUAUAUCCAUUGUCAUGAAGCUUUCCCCCUAUGUUUUCUUCUAAGAGUUUCAUAAUUUUAAGUCUUACAUUUAGACCUUGGAUCCAUUUUUAGUUCGUUUUUGUAUAUGGUAUACGUGUGCCACUCCCUUCGUGUGCAGGUGAAUAUCUAGUUUUCCUGACAUCAUUUGUUGAGGAGACUGUCCUUAAGGCAUGUGUUUUCAUCAGCUUUUAAAAGUGCUCUUAGUUUGACUUUUCUUUUUCCCCCUAAUUGGUGAUAUAUAUGCUUUCACUCAGGCCUUUGCUGGUCUUGUCUCACUUGGUUUUCGCACAGGGCUGUCAGUAUUGGGGAGUGACACAGAAGAGUCCCUGCUGAGAGGAGCAGAGCACAGAGCCUGUGUGCUCACAGUAGGUGAGCAGUUACAGGUCCCCCCAGGACUUCUUCCCCGCAGGUCUUGUCACAUCUGUUUGCUCAUGCAUCUGUCAAGCCAGACAGUGCUCACUGGGGCUAGCACCCACCUCUAGCAAAGGCCUGGAACCACCAUGUUUUACAGAUACGCUCAGUGAGAUACAAUCGUCUAACGUGGUUGGGGGACCAUAUUCAAACCCUCAUCAGUCUGACUCAAAAGACCUUUGUUCUUCACCACCAGGCUAAGUUCUUGUUUCUCCUGGUCUGCUUACAGUAGACUCGGUGUCCCAGGCUCAUCACCACAUAUGCAUGUCAAGUGCCCGUCUUCAUUCCAAGUUCACACCCCACAGAUUUAAAGUUGAGGCAUGAUCUGGUGGCCCCUGGAAUCUGAGAAGGCAAAGCAGCUUUGCCUUUCCAGCUGUGCUGAUAGUGCCCUCUUGUGGUAACAGCUGUCACUGGGGGUAAAUGACGAAAGCAUUUGCUGUCCAAGAACAAGCCGUAUUCUUUAUUGAGUUCCUACUAUGUGCUUUCGCGGAGUUCGGCCUUUAUCAUGCCUUUCUGGGUUACAAUACUUUACCACUGCACAAAUGGUGGCUUAAGCAAAGCUAAGGGCUUUCUCCAGCCUCCUUAGCUGGUAAAUUUAAACCUGUACUUUGGUUCCAAAAACUUUUCUUUCCAAAGAAUCCAGGUAACAUCCCUGUAUUAGGAGAAUGCAGUAGGAGAGCCAGCUUCAUCAGGAGUGCCUCCUCACGUCUGCUUUUGCUUCAGUAAAGCUGUGAUGUCUUUUUUGCCUAUAUCGAAUGUCUUCAGGAGACCAUUUGAGUUUCAGGAGACCAAACAUGAACACUUUGAAAGGAGGCUGAGUGUGGAGGGUUCUGGGGGAGCUGCGGUGCACAUCUAAGCGUACCUUGUGAGUUUACUUCUGGCUUCCUGUUUCCUCGCCUCUUUGCCAGUUACAUAACAAAAUAAAGGCAAUCGGGAUCAACGGCCGAGUCCUGGCAAAAAUGUGAAGGCCGCUACAAGUUUGCGAUCUGAAAUCCACGAUGCUCCGAAAAGCAAGUUUUUUCCUUGCGUUUGUUUCCAAAUUCAUUUGGCAGCAACACCUGACCUGAAAUUUGUGUGCGUAUGAACACAUCUUAUUGUGGACGUAAGUGCUUUUACCAUAGAUUCGAGAUCCUGCUGUGGAUGAGUUUCAAAAUAUAUUUACCUCUCUGUAUCUGAAAAAUUCUGGCCACAAGGAUUUUUCGAUAAGGGAUUGUAGACCUCUAUGUACUACUGAGUCUUUUCAUCGAGUGCUCUCUAGAAAUAACAUUUUUCUUAUGUGUUAUUUUAGAAUCCCAACAGCCUUGUGAUACCGGCACAAGUGGGUUCAUGCUUAUUUUAUAGAUAGGCAGUUUAGGGGUUUUGUGUAUCACACGAUUACAACGUAGUGGCCAAAUCAAGAGGAGAAACCUUGAAAUAUGGCUGAAUAUGGACGAGUGGGAUGGACAGAAGUGGUAUGAUAUAAAAAGGCUGUGUUUUGGACAGGAUUCUGAAUAAAGUACGUAUUUUAGACUGUCCUUGGUUGAGAUGGAAGUACACAGUAUGAGGUGUAGUCAGAGAUAAGGAAGUGCAAGGGCAUCUGAGCUAUUUGUUCUGAAAUGAAGUAUUGAGAAGCACUGAUAACCAUUCAUGUGGCUCCAAACAUUAGAUUAAUACAUUUAUACCUUGUAAAUACCAGCAUGGGUAUAAAAUGAUGCUGGUUCAGAAACGCUUCUAAAGUUUGCAACUAUAGAUGAUGAGUUGACUUUUCAGCAGCAAACUUUAUCUCUCCUCAAAUUCAACUAAAGAAGGAAAUAAAGAACUGUGACACUGCUAGUAUUCAAGCCACAAAAACGGACUUAGGGCCCUCUGUGGAACCCAGAGGGUGACUGGCUAGCAAUGUAGUCAUGCACAUCCAUGUUAAAUGUUUCUUCUCCUUUGACUGUUGAGGUAUAAAAUUACACAAAAGCAAUGGGAGAUGCUGUUUCAUCAAUUAAUCAGAGACCUUUUGAGGAAAGAAAGGUUUCAAAAUUCCUGGAGUCAGAGCUCAUAAAAAAGCAAGGGAGGUUAGCAUCAUGGUGGAGUGAGAAGGCCCCUUUGCAUCUCCCCUUAUAUUUACAAGGCAGACAUUUCUAAUCCAACAAAGGUUCCUCUGCUUCCCACACAAGCAUGCCUGAGUGAGCCAUCAUCAGUACACCUGAAGGUGGCUGCACUAGAACGCACAGAGGCAGCGGGACGGGGGAAGACAGGGACGGGGUCUGCAGAUGCAGUCUGACAGCUGCCACAGCCCGAGCUAACAGUACCGGUGCGACCCCCACACUACAGCCUGGCAGAGGGUAAGGGCAGAAGCAGCCUCAAUGCUCAAGAAGCCGGCUUCCCCUCCCCAUGGCGGCAGAACAUGGUAGCAGACGCAGAGAAGUGUCUACAGGCCCCUAGCUACAGCACAGCGGUCUGGCAGCCACUGGGAAUGAGGAGGCAGUGUGGCAGGCUCACAGACCCGGCUUUUCCCACCUGCCACAUCCUCCCACCGUGGUGGCAGUGCCUCACCCAGACACUGAGGCGACUUGGACACAGGAAACCCACUACCCCAGGCACACGGGAGGUAAUUUUCACCUCAAAAGGGACAUCCCCCACCACAAAAACAAAAGAAAGACCUCUAUCUGCUGAAUUGUUAAGAUCAAAACAAGAAAAUACUUCACAACCUCAAAAGUGCAGGCAGAAGAACAAUCCACCAAGUACCAUGAAUGACCCAGGUAACAUGGUAACACAGAAAGAAAAUGACAAGUCUCCAGAAGUCAAACUCAAAGUUAUGGAAGGCUGAUUUAAAUGACAGAGAAUUAAGAUUGCAGUCAUGAAGAAAGUCAACAAGACACAAGAAAACUCAGAAGGGCAGUUCAAUGAGCUCAGGAAUGAAAAGAAGGAGUACUUUACCAAAGAGACUGAAACUAUAAAAAAGAACCAAACAGAAGUUCUAGAGCUUAUAAAUGAGGUGAAGAAUAUAUUAGAAAGCAUCGGAAAUAGAGUAGACCAGAUGGAAGAGAGAAUUAUCAAGUUCAAAGAUAGAAAACUAGAAAUGACCCCGCUCCGUAGGAUCAGCCCCUGCAUACAACUCCUCCGCUGCAGUCAAGGCCAGUCCUCACAACCAAUGAGCCCAUGUCAGUCCCUCGCCUUGAUGUGCAAUUAUCAACCGAAGCUCAACUGCAAGAGGGCACACACAACCUCUACAGCACACCUGGAGCGCGUGGCUCAGGUGUCCAGAAGGACUGCGCCACUGAACCCCACAGCACACCGACUACAUAAGGCCACUCUGCUAAGACUGGAAGACACAGCAGCCCUACCUAAUACAUAGAAACAAACACAGGGAGGCAGCCAAAAUGGAGAGACAAAUAUGUCUCAAAUAACAGAGUAGAACAAAGCUCCAGAAAAAAAACUAAGUGAUACGGAGAUAAGGAAUCUAGCACAUGCCGAGUUCCAAACACUGGUUAUAAGAAUGCUCAGUGAUCUCAGGGAGAACUUCAACAGAGAGAGGAAGCAUACAAAUGGAGACGAAAACCAUAAAAAAGAACGAGUCAGAACUAAAGGAUACAAUAACAGAAAUGAAUAUGUUACAGGGAAUCAAUAAUAGAUUAGAUGAAGCAGAGGAUCCAAACAG